GGCUAAAAUCAGAUGAUGCAGCGGCUCGACAUCGAGACAGUUGUUAAAUCUUCGGAGCCUAAAGAUGAGCCUGCGUCUGAUUAGGUAGUUGGCGGUGUAUUGGACCACCAAGCCUGCGAUCAGUAGCUGGUCUGAGAGGAUGAUCAGCCACACUGGAACUGAGACACGGUCCAGACUCCUACGGGAGGGCAGCAGUAAGGAAUAUUGCUCAAUGGCCGAAAGGCUGAAGCAGCAACGCCGCGUGGAGGAUGAAAUACUUUUGUUAUGUAAACUCCUGUAAGAAGGGAAAAAUGUUCCGAUUCAUCGGAAUUGAUUGUACCUUCAGAGUAAGCCCCGGCUAACUACGUG
rnacentral:rRNA from 1 species